UACAGAGGAGCCAAGCGUUGUCCGGAUUGACUGGGCGUAAAGCGCACGCAGGCGGCACCGCGCGUGGGGUGUGAAAUCCUGGAGCUCAACUCCAGGACUGCCUUUGAUACUGAGGAUCUUGAGUUCGGGAGAGGUGAGUGGAACUGCGAGUGUAGAGGUGAAAUUCGUAGAUAUUCGCAAGAACACCAGUGGCGAAGGCGGCUCACUGGCCCGAUACUGACGCUGAGGCACGAAAGCGUGGGGAGCAAACAGG
rnacentral:rRNA from 1 species